AACGAGGCCGACCUGCGGCUGAGUUACCUGCGGAAGGAUCAUUACCUAGAGUUGUAGGCUUUGCCUGCUAUCUCUUACCCAUGUCUUUUGAGUACCUUACGUUUCCUCGGUGGGUUCGCCCGCCGGUUGGACAAAACUUAAACCCUUUGUAGUUGCAAUCAGCGUCUGAAAAAACUUAACAGUUACAACUUUUAGCAAUGGAUCU
rnacentral:misc_RNA from 1 species